CCUACGGGAGGCAGCAGUGGGGAAUAUUGGACAAUGGGCGAAAGCCUGAUCCAGCAAUGCCGCGUGAGUGAUGAAGGCCUUAGGGUUGUAAAGCUCUUUUACCCGGGAUGAUAAUGACAGUACCGGGAGAAUAAGNCCGGCUAACUCCGUGC
rnacentral:rRNA from 1 species